AUGAGCAAGUCUCUCUGUCCUAAAUUCAGGGGGUUAUCCACGUACGAAAAAGAGUACUUAGCCAUCAUCGCAGCAGUGGAUCAGUGGAGGCCAUACCUACAGUCCGCAGAAUUCGUGAUCAAGACGGACCAACGAAGGUUAGUUUAUCUGCAAGAGCAACACCUCACCACCCCAUGGCAGGAAAAGCGUUUACUAAACUCCUAG
rnacentral:rRNA from 1 species